AGAAUCAACGCUGGCGGCGUGCCUAACACAUGCAAGUCGAACGAGAAAGGGGUAGCAAUACCCUGAGUAAAGUGGCGCACGGGUGAGUAACACGUGACUAACCUACCCUGGAGUGGGGGGAUAACUGAGGGAAACCUUAGCUAAUACCGCAUAAUACCUACGGGUCAAAGGAGCAAUUCGCUUUGGAGGGGUCGCGGCCGAUUAGUUAGUUGGCGGGGUAAUGGCCCACCAAGACGAUGAUCGGUAUCC
rnacentral:rRNA from 1 species